rnacentral:lncRNA from 1 species
GAGUAGCUUGAAGAUUGCCUUGGAUCGGCCAGUGAGUGGUCCAGUCGAGUCAUGGGUUGACUCAGUGAGUCAGGGCGAGUUAGGGAAGGGUGGUCAAGUGGACUGAGUCGAGCUGGGACUCGCCGAGUUGUUCUUGAGACUCGGCGAGUUGAGUCGGGGUGGCCCCGCGAUUCUUCCAGGUGGAACUCGUCGAGUCAGGGGGAGUACUCGACGUGUAAGAAGGGAAUCCUAGAGAGUUGGUGAAAACGUCUAGACUCGCCGAGUUGCCCUUGUGCACUCGCCGAGUCCGGUCAAAGUUGACCGUUGACCGUUGACCAGAGUUGACCUGUGUUGACUUCUUAGGGAUAGUCAACCUUAGAGAUAAAAAGUGUUAAUUAGAGACAUAUGAUGUUAUAGGAGGAUUAUAGCUCGGAGGAUCGGGCACGAGGGAUUUCAGGAUUUGUGAGUCAUCGAGAUACGCGAGGUGAGUCUUCUCACUAUACUUUACCUUGAGUAGGUAACCAGAGUUAUGUGACAGAGUAUUGUAUGUUAUGUAUGCUAUAUGUUGUACUGCAUUAUUUCUAUGUGAUUAUGCUGUGCAUGUUUACAGAGUUGGAACCGGAAGGUUCCUAGAGUUAGAACCUGAGGGUUCACAGAGUUUGGGUGCACGGACCCAUAGAGUUAUAGCCUCGAGUGGCUAAUAUGUGUUUUAUGUGUGGUAUUUUGGGGAACUCACUAAGCUUUGUGCUUACAGUGUUAGUGUUGUUGUUUCAGGUACUAGCGAUGACCGUGGGAAGGCGCCGGCUUGAUCCGUACACACGCAUGGGAUUUUGUUAUACUUGUGAUCUUGGGAUUUUGUAUAAUGUAAAUUGGGAUUUAAACUUGAUGAUUUUAUGAAAAGUUAAUGGGAAAUGUUUUUAUAAAUUGUGAAAAAUUAUUUUGAAAUUUACGGUGUUACAAGUUGGUAUCAGAGCCUUGGUUUGAGGGAUUCGAGUACACCUUCGGGCGUAUUUGAACUCAAACUGAGGAUUUGAGAUGUAUUUUCAAAAAGAGUAAAAGAUUUUUGAAAAACGCAGAGCAAGAGAUGUGUGUACGAUCAGUCAGCGCCCGAACGGUGAUUUCCCAAAAUACCUUUAUAUUAUGUGAUAUUGAUAUUGAUAUGAUGUAUCUGCAUGCUAGAGUAGGCUAGGUAUUGCUAUUAGGACUAGAGUGGCCUGAUUUGUGAUGCCUUAGCCUAGGGAGAGGUGAGCUGCUAUGAGAUGCUUGAGAGUGAGUAGGUAGCAGCGAGGGGCUUAUGAGAGAUCUAUUAGAGAGUGGUCUACGCAUGAUAGAGUACUUGGGACUUGGGAUCCGAAGAGGAGGACUUGGGGUGUAUUCUGGUGCGGUGCGGACAGUAGUAUUGGGCCCGUACUACUGAAAGCACCGGAGCGGUGUGCAGCCCAAGUAAGAAUCUUUGGAAUACCAAGAAUCAAGGAGGAAAGAGUUGUCGAGUGUGAGUAUGCUCGUGUGGAUUCUGAUUUUCGUAUGUUGUAUUUCAGAGGUAGAUCAUGGUGAGGACACGUUUGAUGCCCGAGAGCAGUGGUACCAGUGAGGAGGAGAUCCGCCGGAUCAUCCAGGAGGAGGUGGCUGCGGCCAUCAGGGCAGAGAUACCGGAGAUGUUUGGGUCUAUAAAGACCACACUGAUUGAGACGUUUGAUGAGCGUUAUGCCGCUCUUUCUGAGGCUGCUGCUGCAGCGGCUACCGCAGCGAUUGCUGCUGCGAGGCCGCAGGGUGGGGAUGCGUUGCUGUUCCGUGAGUUCAGCAACACAAAACCACCAGAGUUUGAUGGUACUCAGGAUCCGGUGGCAGCUAUGAGGUGGAUAUCUGAUAUUGAGGGGUGUUUCUUCACUUGCUCGUCUCCUGAGCAUUUGAAGGUACGGUUCGCGCUGAACCAGCUUCGCUUGGGAGCGAAGGACUGGUGGAAGUUUGUGACGGCGCAUUAUACGCCUGCUGAGCUUUCUGCGGUGACCUGGGAGAGGUUCACCACCAUGUUUCGGGAUGAGUACGUUCCCCAGGUGGAGAGGGAGCGUUUAGCACAGGAGUUUCUGACCCUCAAGCAGGGUACUGAGUCUGUUACAGCGAUCACGAGGAUGUUCCACGAGAGGGCGAUGUUCUGCCCUGAGCACGUGUCCACUGAGCAGGCACGUAUGAGCCGCUACUUGAGCAUCUUGAGGAGGGAUAUUCGGGAGUUCGCUGCGAACUCCUCGUACCGGACAUUUGCCGAGCUUCAGGCAAAUGCCCGGAAGAGGGAGAUUGAGCUUGAGACUCAGGCCAGGGAGGAGGCGGAGUCUCAGGGGAGGGAUCGGCGACCGGCACUGUCGCAGCCGGCCGCCAAGCGGGCCAAGCCUGCUGAUCCCAGACCAGGGAGCCAGAAGGGCCGCACUUGCGGAAAGUGCGGCAAGGGUCAUGACGGAGUCUGCCGAGCAGGGUCUUGCUACAAAUGUGGCAAGGAGGGGCACAUGGCCAAGGACUGCCCCAAGGGGUUUGCAGUGUGCUUUCACUGCAACCAGACCGGACACCGGAAGGCCGAGUGUCCGCAGUUGCGCGGAGCAUCUCAGGGGUCUGCUCCUGCCGCCACCAGAGUUACAGAGAGUCGGCCUGUGAAGGCCGAGACGCCGAGAGCUCGAGGGAGAGCCUUCCAGCUGACUGCGGAGGAGGUCCGCGCUGCGCCCGAUGUUGUGGCUGGUAUGUUUCCUUUCGUGUAUUUAUUUUGAUAUAUGAUGUUAUGCUUAUAUUAUGUUAUGUGUAGGUACUUUUCUUGUGAAUUCCGUACCUGCUUUAGUGUUAUUUGACUCGGGUGCGAGUCGGUCUUUUGUAUCUUUGGCCUUUAGCCAGCAUAUCAGUGCUAGUCGUGAGGCACUGAGUCGGCCUCUGAGAGUCUCCAUAGCUGAUGAUAGAGUGAUUUGUGCCGCAGAGGUUUUCCGGGGAUGUGUGUUAGAGAUCUUCGGGAUUGAGUUUCCGAUUGAUCUGAUUCCUAUUGCGAUGGGUGAUGUUUGUGUCAUUGUGGGCAUGGACUGGUUGAGCCGAUUCGGCGCGAUUAUCGACUGUGAGCGUCAGCUGGUGACUAUACGAGACCCUAGUGGGGGAGUUCUUUCGGUGUACGGUGAGGGUACACGUUCGGGAUCAGCCUUUUGUUCGGCCGCUAGGGCGAGGCAGUGUCUACAGCAGGGCUGUAAGGGUUUUGUGGCGUAUGUGAUGGAUACGCGAGCGACUUCCGAGAGACCGAGUUCAGUUGGGGAGGUACCGGUGGUAUGUGAGUUUCCAGAUGUCUUUCCCGAGGAGCUGCCGGGAGUACCUCCUGUGAGGCAAGUAGAGUUUGGUAUUGAUUUGGUUCCGGGGGCUGCGCCUAUAGCUAAGGUGCCUUAUCGUCUUGCACCUCCAGAGAUGCAAGAGUUAUCCUCGCAGCUUCAGGAGUUGCUGGGGAAGGGAUUUAUUCGGCCGAGCAGCUCGCCGUGGGGAGCACCUAUUCUGUUUGUCAAGAAGAAGGAUGGUUCACACCGGAUGUGUAUUGAUUACCGGGAGUUGAACAAGCUGACGGUCAAGAACCGUUACCCGUUGCCGAGGAUCGACGAUUUAUUUGAUCAGUUGCAGGGAGCAUCUUGGUUUUCCAAGAUCGAUUUGAGGUCGGGAUAUCAUCAGGUGAGGGUGCGAGAUGAGGACGUCCAGAAGACAGCUUUCAGGACGCGUUAUGGGCAUUAUGAGUUUGUGGUGAUGCCUUUUGGGCUCACCAAUGCCCCGGCGGUGUUCAUGGAUCUCAUGAACAGGGUAUGUAGGCCGAUGUUGGAUCGGUCGGUGAUUGUAUUUAUCGAUGAUAUUCUGGUGUAUUCGAGAUCUAGGGAGCAGCAUGAGGAACAUUUGAGGGAGGUCCUUGGGGUACUGAGAUCGGAGAAGCUUUAUGCAAAGUUCUCCAAGUGUGAUUUCUGGUUACGGGAGGUCCAGUUCCUAGGACAUCUCGUUAACCAGGAAGGGAUUCUGGUCGAUCCGGCCAAGGUUGAGGCGGUGAUGGGUUGGGAGGUGCCAAAGUCACCCUCUGAGAUCAGGAGCUUCCUUGGAUUAGCAGGGUAUUAUCGGAGAUUUAUCAAGGAUUUCUCCAAGAUCGCAGUGCCGCUCACCAGGUUGACCCGGAAGGGUGUUGCAUUCUCAUGGGGUCCCGAGCAGCAGACCUCCUUUGAGACACUUCGCCAGAGGUUGUGCGAAGCCCCGGUAUUAGCUCUCCCGGAAGGGAUGGAGGAUUUUGUAGUAUAUUGUGAUGCAUCGAUUUUGGGGUUGGGUGCGGUGUUGAUGCAGAGGGGUCAUGUGAUAGCAUAUGCAUCGAGGCAGCUGAAGCCUCAUGAGACGAGAUAUCCCACGCAUGAUCUAGAGUUGGGGGCAGUAGUGUUCGCCCUCAAGAUUUGGCGCCACUACUUAUAUGGGGUUCGAUGUACGAUAUACACGGACCAUAAGAGCUUGAAGUACUUGAUGGAUCAGCCCAAUCUAAACAUGCGUCAGAGGAGGUGGUUAGAUGUGGUCAAGGAUUAUGAUUGUGAGAUCCUGUACCACCCGGGCAAGGCCAACGUGGUGGCCGAUGCGUUGAGCCGCAGGGCGGAGAGCACUCCAUUGCGAGAUGUAUGUUUGAGAUUGACCAUGAUAGCUCCGGUAUUGGAUGCCAUUCGUGGGGCACAGGCCGAGGCUGUGCAGCCGGAGAUGCAGAAGAGGGAACGGGUCGUUGGUUUGGUUUCAGAAUUCGUUACGGAUGGGCGAGGGCUUAUGACUUUUCAGGGUCGGAUUUGGGUACCGUUCGUGGGUGGUACGCGCACUUCCUUGAUGGAGGAGGCUCAUCGGUCGAAAUUUUCGAUCCAUCCGGGGGCUACGAAGAUGUAUUUGGAUUUGAGGAGAGAGUAUUGGUGGCCCUGUAUGAAGAGGGACGUCGCAUGGUUCGUUGAGAGGUGCUUGACCUGUCGUAGGGUUAAGGCCGAGCACCAGAGACCACAUGGCAAGUUGCAGCCAUUGGAGGUUCCCGAAUGGAAAUGGGAACAGAUCACUAUGGAUUUCAUCACCAAAUUGCCGAGAACUGCCAGGGGAGUUGAUGCAAUUUGGGUGAUUGUGGAUAGGUUGACGAAGAGCGCUCACUUCCUUGCCAUCAGUGAGAGUUCUUCAGCAGAGAAGUUGGCAGAGUUAUAUGUGAGAGAAGUGGUAUCUCGGCAUGGGGUGCCGAUCUCGAUUGUUUCAGACCGUGAUGUGCGCUUUACUUCCAGAUUCUGGAAGAAAUUUCAUGAGGAGUUGGGUACUAGAUUGCAUUUUAGUACCGCAUAUCAUCCCCAGACAGACGGUCAGAGUGAGCGGACGAUUCAGACGCUUGAGGACAUGCUUCGAGCAUGUGUGUUGGAUUUUGGGGGUAGCUGGGAUGCGUAUCUACCCUUGGCAGAGUUUUCCUACAACAACAGCCAUCAUUCGAGCAUUGGUAUGCCACCCUUUGAGCUGUUGUAUGGUAGGAGGUGUCGGACCCCCAUUUGCUGGGGAGAGGUCGGGCAGAGAGUGAUGGGCAGUACCGAGAUCGUGCUUCAGACGACAGAGCAGAUUCAGCAGGUCAGACAGAGGUUGUUGACCGCCCAGAGUCGACAGAAGAGUUAUGCAGACAGACGCCGGUCCGAGCUUGAGUUUCAGGUCGGCGACUUCGUUCUCCUGAAGGUCUCUCCUUGGAAAGGAGUGAUUCGAUUCAGGAAGAGGGGCAAGUUGGGGCCCCGGUAUAUUGGGCCAUUUCGUGUGAUUGCGAGGGUAGGCCGGGUAGCCUAUCGUUUGGAAUUGCCAGCAGAGUUGGGGCAAAUCCACGACACUUUUCAUGUGUCGCAAUUGAGGAAAUGUAUUGCCGAUGAGUCGGCAGUAGUUCCAUUAGAGGAUAUUCAGGUGGAUGCGAGCCUGAAUUAUGCCGAGAGACCAGUAGCCAUCAGAGAUCGGAAGAUCAAGGUUCUGAGGAACAAGGAGGUACCUUUGGUGUUGGUUCAGUGGCAACACCGGAAGGGAUCAGAGAUGACCUGGGAGCCGGAGCGCGAGAUGCGGGCUCAGCAUCCGGAGCUAUUUUAGAGCGAGACUUCGAGGGCGAAGUCUAAUCCUAGUGGGGGAGAAUUGUAACAGCCCGGAUCUCCAGGUAUUUUAUUGUUUUAAUAUUUUGAGUUUUGAGAAGGGACUCGGCGAGUUGGAGCUCAGACUCGCCGAGUAGGGUCGCGAUUCUGGACGCGGGAUUCGUUCGGACUCGGCGAGUCCAGGAUAUGGACUCGGCGAGUCCACGCUGUUUAAUGAAACCCUAAUUUCUCGGGUUUGGGACCUAUUUAAAUGGCCUUAUGGCCGUCAUUUGCAUCCAUCAGUCCAUAGAGAGAAACCCUAAAAGUGCUUUAGCGAUUUGAGAGUGAAAGGAGGCAUUUCUUGACAUUUGUGUGUUGUUUAGCAAAGAAGAAGGAGGCUCUAGCCAAGAGGAGGCAAAGGGGACUGCUAUUUGGUGGAUUGGAAGCUUGACCCUUCAAUCUAAAGGUAUAAUUUCGACUCAUCUCCUGUUUUGUGAAGUAUAACCGAUUUUAGGGUUUCUUGUGGCCUUGUUGAGUUGAUUUGAUGGCCAAAUAGUCCCAUGCUAGUGAUGAGACUUCGGAUCUGGAUCCAUAGAGGUCCAGAGAGUCUCAUUCUUCAAGCUUUAUAGAGAACAAUGGAGGUCAUGACCUUGUGUAGUGAGAUUUGUUGAAGAUUCUUCAUAAUUAGUCAUAUAGAGGUUGUUAAUGCAUCAAGACUAGGACUUUACGUGAUGAAUCAGUCUAGGAGGGCCAGAUCUAUGAAUUGUUGGAGUAGAUCUGACCUUAGAAGCAAGUUUGAGUGAUUGCAUGGAAUGGACUCGCCGAGUCCGAUGAGCAGACUCGGCGAGUAGCUUGAAGAUUGCCUUGGACCGGCCAGUGAGUGGUCCAGACGAGUCAGGAGUUGACCCAGUGAGUCAGGGCGAGUUAGAGAGGAUUGUCAUGUGGUCUGAGUCGAGCUGGGACUCGCCGAGUCGUUCUUGAGACUCGGCGAGUUGAGUCGGGGUGGUCCCGCGAUUCUUCCAGGUGGAACUCGUCGAGUCAGGGGGAGUACUCGACGUGUAGAAAGGGAAUCCUAGAGAGUUGGUGAGAACGUCUAGACUCGCCGAGUUGCCGCGUGCACUCGCCGAGUCCGGUCAAAGUUGACCGUUGACCGUUGACCGUUGACCUGUGUUGACUUCUUAGGGAUAGUCAACCUUAGAGAUAAAAGUGUUAAUUAGAGUCUUGUGAUGUUAUAGGAGGAUUAGAGCUCGGAGGAUCGAGUACGAGGGAUUUCCAGGGAUCGUGAGAUACCGAGACACGCGAGGUGAGUCUUCUCACUAUACCUUACCUUGAGUCGGUAAUCAGAGUUAUGUGUUAGUGCAUGUAUGUUACGUGUAUGUUAUGUGUUGUACUGCAUUAUUUCUAUGUGAUUUAUGCUGUGCAUGUUUAUAGAGUUGGAACCGGAAGGUUCACAGAGUUAGAACCUGAGGGUUCACAGAGUUUGGGUGCACGGACCCAUAGAGUUAUGGCCUCGAGUGGCUAAUAUGUGUUUUAUGUGUGGUAUUUUGGGGAACUCACUAAGCUUUGUGCUUACAGUGUUAGUGUUGUUGUUUCAGGUACUAGCGAUGACCGUGGGAAGGCGCCGGCUUGAUCUGUACACACGUAGAGGAAUUUGAUAUAAUUAUGUGAUCUUGGGAUUUGUAUGAUACAUAUUGGAAUUUGAAAUUUGAUGUUUUAUGAAAUUAAGAGAGAAAUGCUUUUAUAAAUUGUGAAAAAUAAAUUUUAAAAUUUUCAGUGUUACAAGUUGGUAUCAGAGCCUUGGUUUGAGGGAUUCGAGUACACCUUCGGGCGUAUUUGAACUCAAACUGAGGAUUUGAGAUGUAUUUUCAAAAAGAGUAAAAGAUUUUCGAAAAACGCAGAGCAAGAGAUGUGUGUACGAUCAGUCAGCGCCCGAACGGUGAUUUCCCAAAAUACCUUUAUAUAUUAUGUGAUAUUGAUAUUGAUAUGAUGUAUCCGCAUGCUAGAGUAGGCUAGGUAUUGCUAUUAGGACUAGAGUGGCCUGAUGUGUGAUGCCUUAGCCUAGGGAGAGGUGAGCUGCUAUGAGAUGCUUGAGAGUGAGUAGGUAGCAGCAAGGGACUUAUGAGAAAUCUAUUAGAGAGUAGUCUAUGCAUGAUAAAGUACUUGAGACCUGGGAUCCAAAGAGAAGGACUUGGAGUGUAUUCUGGUGCGGUGCGGACAGUAGUAUUGGGCCCGUACUACUGGAAGCACCGGAGCAGUGUGCAGCCUAAGUCAGAAUCUUUGGAAUGCCAAGAAUCAAGGAGAAAAGAGUUGUCGAGUGUGAGCAUACUCGUGUGGAUUCUAAUUUAUCGUAUGUUGUAUUUCAGAGGUAGAUCAUGGUGAGGACACGUUUGAUGCCCGAGAGCAGUGGUACCAGUGAGGAGGAGAUCCGCCGGAUCAUUCAGGAGGAGGUGGCUGCGGCCAUCAGGGCAGAGAUACCGGAGAUGUUUGGGUCUAUAAAGACCACCUUGAUUGAGACGUUUGAUGAGCGUUAUGCCGCUCUUUCUGAGGCUGCUGCUGCAGCGGCUACCGCAGCGAUUGCUGCUGCGAGGCCGCAGGGUGGGGAUGCGUUGCUGUUCCGUGAGUUCAGCAACACAAAACCACCAGAGUUUGAUGGUACUCAGGAUCCGGUGGCAGCUAUGAGGUGGAUAUCUGAUAUUGAGGGGUGUUUCUUCACUUGCUCGUCUCCUGAGCAUUUGAAGGUACGGUUCGCGCUGAACCAGCUUCGCUUGGGAGCGAAGGACUGGUGGAAGUUUGUGACAGCGCAUUAUUCGCCUGCUGAGCUUUCUGCGGUGACCUGGGAGAGGUUCACCACUAUGUUUCGGGAUGAGUACGUUCCCCAGGUGGAGAGGGAGCGUUUAGCACAGGAGUUUCUGACCCUCAAGCAGGGUACUGAGUCUGUUACAGCGAUCACGAGGAUGUUCCACGAGAGGGCGAUGUUCUGCCCUGAGCACGUGUCCACUGAGCAGGCACGUAUGAGCCGCUACUUGAGCAUCUUGAGGAGGGAUAUUCGGGAGUUCGCUGCGAACUCCUCGUACCGGACAUUUGCCGAGCUUCAGGCAAAUGCCCGGAAGAGGGAGAUUGAGCUUGAGACCCAGGCCAGGGAGGAGGCAGAGUCUCAGGGGAGGGAUCGGCGACCGGCGUUGUCGCAGCCGGCCGCCAAGCGGGCCAAGCCUGCUGAUCCCAGACCAGGGAGCCAGAAGGGCCGCACUUGCGGAAAGUGCGGCAAGGGUCAUGACGGAGUCUGCCGAGCAGGGUCUUGCUACAAAUGUGGCAAGGAGGGGCACAUGGCCAAGGACUGCCCCAAGGGGUUUGCAGUGUGCUUUCACUGCAACCAGACCGGACACCGGAAGGCCGAGUGUCCGCAGUUGCGCGGAGCAUCUCAGGGGUCUGCUCCUGCCGCCACCAGAGUUACAGAGAGUCGGCCUGUGAAGGCCGAGACGCCGAGAGCUCGAGGGAGAGCCUUCCAGCUGACUGCGGAGGAGGUCCGCGCUGCGCCCGAUGUUGUGGCUGGUAUGUUUCCUUUCGUGUAUUUAUUUUGACAUAUGAUGUUAUGCUUAUAUUAUGUUAUGUGUAGGUACUUUUCUUGUGAAUUCCGUACCUGCUUUAGUGUUAUUUGACUCGGGUGCGAGUCGGUCUUUUGUAUCUUUGGCCUUUAGCCAGCAUAUCAGUGCUAGUCGUGAGGCACUGAGUCGGCCUCUGAGAGUCUCCAUAGCUGAUGAUAGAGUGAUUUGUGCCACAGAGGUUUUCCGGGGAUGUGUGUUAGAGAUCUUCGGGAUUGAGUUUCCGAUUGAUCUGAUUCCUAUUGCGAUGGGCGAUGUUUGUGUCAUUGUGGGCAUGGACUGGUUGAGCCGAUUCGGCGCGAUUAUCGACUGUGAGCGUCAGCUGGUGACUAUACGAGACCCUAGUGGGGGAGUUCUUUCGGUGUACGGUGAGGGUACACGUUCGGGAUCAGCCUUUUGUUCGGCCGCCAGGGCGAGGCAGUGUCUACAGCAGGGCUGUAAGGGUUUUGUGGCGUAUGUGAUGGAUACGCGAGCGACUUCCGAGAGACCGAGUUCAGUUGGGGAGGUACCGGUGGUAUGUGAGUUUCCAGAUGUCUUUCCCGAGGAGCUGCCGGGAGUACCUCCUGUGAGGCAAGUAGAGUUUGGUAUUGAUUUGGUUCCGGGGGCUGCGCCUAUAGCUAAGGUGCCUUAUCGUCUUGCACCUCCAGAGAUGCAAGAGUUAUCCUCGCAGCUUCAGGAGUUGCUGGGGAAGGGAUUUAUUCGGCCGAGCAGCUCGCCGUGGGGAGCACCUAUUCUGUUUGUCAAGAAGAAGGAUGGUUCACACCGGAUGUGUAUUGAUUACCGGGAGUUGAACAAGCUGACGGUCAAGAACCGUUACCCGUUGCCGAGGAUCGACGAUUUAUUUGAUCAGUUGCAGGGAGCAUCUUGGUUUUCCAAGAUCGAUUUGAGGUCGGGAUAUCAUCAGGUGAGGGUGCGAGACGGGGACGUCCAGAAGACAGCUUUCAGGACGCGUUAUGGGCAUUAUGAGUUUGUGGUGAUGCCUUUUGGGCUCACCAAUGCCCCGGCGGUGUUCAUGGAUCUCAUGAACAGGGUAUGUAGGCCGAUGUUGGAUCGGUCGGUGAUUGUAUUUAUCGAUGAUAUUCUGGUGUAUUCGAGAUCUAGGGAGCAGCAUGAGGAACAUUUGAGGGAGGUCCUUGGGGUACUGAGAUCGGAGAAGCUUUAUGCAAAGUUCUCCAAGUGUGAUUUCUGGUUACGGGAGGUCCAGUUCCUAGGACAUCUCGUUAACCAGGAAGGGAUUCUGGUCGAUCCGGCCAAGGUUGAGGCGGUGAUGGGUUGGGAGGUGCCAAAGUCACCCUCUGAGAUCAGGAGCUUCCUUGGAUUAGCAGGGUAUUAUCGGAGAUUUAUCAAGGAUUUCUCCAAGAUCGCAGUGCCGCUCACCAGGUUGACCCGGAAGGGUGUUGCAUUCUCAUGGGGUCCCGAGCAGCAGACCUCCUUUGAGACACUUCGCCAGAGGUUGUGCGAAGCCCCGGUAUUAGCUCUCCCGGAAGGGAUGGAGGAUUUUGUAGUAUAUUGUGAUGCAUCGAUUUUGGGGUUGGGUGCGGUGUUGAUGCAGAGGGGUCAUGUGAUAGCAUAUGCAUCGAGGCAGCUGAAGCCUCAUGAGACGAGAUAUCCCACGCAUGAUCUAGAGUUGGGGGCAGUAGUGUUCGCCCUCAAGAUUUGGCGCCACUACUUAUAUGGGGUUCGAUGUACGAUAUACACGGACCAUAAGAGCUUGAAGUACUUGAUGGAUCAGCCCAAUCUAAACAUGCGUCAGAGGAGGUGGUUAGAUGUGGUCAAGGAUUAUGAUUGUGAGAUCCUGUACCACCCGGGCAAGGCCAACGUGGUGGCCGAUGCGUUGAGCCGCAGGGCGGAGAGCACUCCAUUGCGAGAUGUAUGUUUGAGAUUGACCAUGAUAGCUCCGGUAUUGGAUGCCAUUCGUGGGGCACAGGCCGAGGCUGUGCAGCCGGAGAUGCAGAAGAGGGAACGGGUCGUUGGUUUGGUUUCAGAAUUCGUUACGGAUGGGCGAGGGCUUAUGACUUUUCAGGGUCGGAUUUGGGUACCGUUCGUGGGUGGUACGCGCACUUCCUUGAUGGAGGAGGCUCAUCGGUCGAAAUUUUCGAUCCAUCCGGGGGCUACGAAGAUGUAUUUGGAUUUGAGGAGAGAGUAUUGGUGGCCCUGUAUGAAGAGGGACGUCGCAUGGUUCGUUGAGAGGUGCUUGACCUGUCGUAGGGUUAAGGCCGAGCACCAGAGACCACAUGGCAAGUUGCAGCCAUUGGAGGUUCCCGAAUGGAAAUGGGAACAGAUCACUAUGGAUUUCAUCACCAAAUUGCCGAGAACUGCCAGGGGAGUUGAUGCAAUUUGGGUGAUUGUGGAUAGGUUGACGAAGAGCGCUCACUUCCUUGCCAUCAGUGAGAGUUCUUCAGCAGAGAAGUUGGCAGAGUUAUAUGUGAGAGAAGUGGUAUCUCGGCAUGGGGUGCCGAUCUCGAUUGUUUCAGACCGUGAUGUGCGCUUUACUUCCAGAUUCUGGAAGAAAUUUCAUGAGGAGUUGGGUACUAGAUUGCAUUUUAGUACCGCAUAUCAUCCCCAGACAGACGGUCAGAGUGAGCGGACGAUUCAGACGCUUGAGGACAUGCUUCGAGCAUGUGUGUUGGAUUUUGGGGGUAGCUGGGAUGCGUAUCUACCCUUGGCAGAGUUUUCCUACAACAACAGCCAUCAUUCGAGCAUUGGUAUGCCACCCUUUGAGCUGUUGUAUGGUAGGAGGUGUCGGACCCCCAUUUGCUGGGGAGAGGUCGGGCAGAGAGUGAUGGGCAGUACCGAGAUCGUGCUUCAGACGACAGAGCAGAUUCAGCAGGUCAGACAGAGGUUGUUGACCGCCCAGAGUCGACAGAAGAGUUAUGCAGACAGACGCCGGUCCGAGCUUGAGUUUCAGGUCGGCGACUUCGUUCUCCUGAAGGUCUCUCCUUGGAAAGGAGUGAUUCGAUUCAGGAAGAGGGGCAAGUUGGGGCCCCGGUAUAUUGGGCCAUUUCGCGUGAUUGCGAGGGUAGGCCGGGUAGCCUAUCGUUUGGAAUUGCCAGCAGAGUUGGGGCAAAUCCACGACACUUUUCAUGUGUCGCAAUUGAGGAAAUGUAUUGCCGAUGAGUCGGCAGUAGUUCCAUUAGAGGAUAUUCAGGUGGAUGCGAGCCUGAAUUAUGCCGAGAGACCAGUAGCCAUCAGAGAUCGGAAGAUCAAGGUUCUGAGGAACAAGGAGGUACCUUUGGUGUUGGUUCAGUGGCAACACCGGAAGGGAUCAGAGAUGACCUGGGAGCCGGAGCGCGAGAUGCGGGCUCAGCAUCCGGAGCUAUUUUAGAGCGAGACUUCGAGGGCGAAGUCUAAUCCUAGUGGGGGAGAAUUGUAACAGCCCGGAUCUCCAGGUAUUUUAUUGUUUUAAUAUUUUGAGUUUUGAGAAGGGACUCGGCGAGUUGGAGCUCAGACUCGCCGAGUAGGGUCGCGAUUCUGGACGCGGGAUUCGUUCGGACUCGGCGAGUCCAGGAUAUGGACUCGGCGAGUCCACGCUGUUUAAUGAAACCCUAAUUUCUCGGGUUUGGGACCUAUUUAAAUGGCCUUAUGGCCGUCAUUUGCAUCCAUCAGUCCAUAGAGAGAAACCCUAAAAGUGCUUUAGCGAUUUGAGAGUGAAAGGAGGCAUUUCUUGACAUUUGUGUGUUGUUUAGCAAAGAAGAAGGAGGCUCUAGCCAAGAGGAGGCAAAGGGGACUGCUAUUUGGUGGAUUGGAAGCUUGACCCUUCAAUCUAAAGGUAUAAUUUCGACUCAUCUCCUGUUUUGUGAAGUAUAACCGAUUUUAGGGUUUCUUGUGGCCUUGUUGAGUUGAUUUGAUGGCCAAAUAGUCCCAUGCUAGUGAUGAGACUUCGGAUCUGGAUCCAUAGAGGUCCAGAGAGUCUCAUUCUUCAAGCUUUAUAGAGAACAAUGGAGGUCAUGACCUUGUGUAGUGAGAUUUGUUGAAGAUUCUUCAUAAUUAGUCAUAUAGAGGUUGUUAAUGCAUCAAGACUAGGACUUUACGUGAUGAAUCAGUCUAGGAGGGCCAGAUCUAUGAAUUGUUGGAGUAGAUCUGACCUUAGAAGCAAGUUUGAGUGAUUGCAUGGAAUGGACUCGCCGAGUCCGAUGAGCAGACUCGGCGAGUAGCUUGAAGAUUGCCUUGGACCGGCCAGAGAGUGGUCCAGACGAGUCAGGAGUUGACCCAGUGAGUCAGGGCGAGUUAGAGAGGAUUGUCAUGUGGUCUGAGUCGAGCUGGGACUCGCCGAGUCGUUCUUGAGACUCGGCGAGUUGAGUCGGGGUGGCCCCGCGAUUCUUCCAGGUGGAACUCGUCGAGUCAGGGGGAGUACUCGACGUGUAAGAAGGGAAUCCUAGAGAGUUGGGGAAAACGUCUAGACUUGCCGAGUUGCCCUUGUGCACUCGCCGAGUCCGGUCAAAGUUGACCGUUGACCGUUGACCAGAGUUGACCUGUGUGGACUUCUUAGGGAUAGUCAACCUUAGAGAUAAAAAAAAUGUUAAUUAGAGACAUAUGAUGUUAUAGGAGGAUUAUAGCUCGGAGGAUCGGGCACGAGGGAUUUCAGGAUUUGGGAGUCAUCGAGAUACGCAAGGUGAGUCUUCUCACUAUACUUUACCUUGAGUAGGUAACCAGAGUUAUGUGACAGAGUAUUGUAUGUUAUGUAUGCUAUAUGUUGUACU